GACGAACGCUGGCGGCGUGCUUAACACAUGCAAGUCGAACGGAAAGGCCCUGCUAUUGUGGUGUGCUCGAGGGGCGAACGGGUGAGUAACACGUGAGUAACCUGCCCUAGACUUUGGGAUAACUUCAGGAAACUGGGGCUAAUACCGGAUAGGAGCUGCUGCUGCAUGGAGGGGGUGGGAAAGUUUCGGCGGUUGGGGAUGGACGCGCGGCUUAUCAGCUUGUUGGUGGGGUAGUGGCAUACCAAGGCAUUGACGGGUAGCCGGCCUGAGAGGGUGACCGGCCACAUUGGGACUGAGAUACGGCCCAGACUCCUACGGGAGGCAGCAGGGGGGAAUAUUGCACAAUGGGCGGAAGCCUGAUGCAGCAACGCCGCGUGCGGGAUGACGGCCUUCGGGUUGUAAACCGCUUUCGCCUGUGACGAAGCGUGAGUGACGGUAAUGGGUAAAGAAGCACCGGCUAACUACGUG
rnacentral:rRNA from 1 species